rnacentral:misc_RNA from 1 species
UAGUCCUGAAGAUAUUGGAUUUGAGCCUCUAGGGAUGGAGAUUGAGAUGGCUGUGGAGGUGGAAGGAGGGGAGAACUUAGAGAAAGUGGAAUCAGAAGAAGCAGGGCUUCUUGGGAUGGAAAAUUCAGAUUCUUUGGCUGCCAUUGGAUUUCUGGAAGCUUGGAGACUACCUGGAGUGGCGCCAUUUGCUUUCUGCCUCUUCUUUUCGAAGCUAGUGGCUUACACCUUUUUAUAUUGGUUGCCCUUCUACAUUAGGCACACUGCUGUUGCAGGUGUGCAUUUGUCACACAAAACUGCUGGCAUUCUCUCUACUUUAUUUGACAUUGGCGGAGUCUUUGGCGGAAUUUCGGCUGGAUACGUAUCUGAUAUGAUUGAAGCUCGUGCAGUAACUUCAAUUGUAUUCUUGUUGUUAUCAAUUCCAGCCCUUAUUUUGUACCGACUUUAUGGGAGCCUGUCUAUGAUUAUGAACAUAGCUUUGAUGCUUCUUUCUGGUUUGCUUGUGAAUGGCCCUUACUCAUUAAUCACGACGGCUGUUGCGGCUGAUCUUGGUACCCAGGACUUAAUCAAGGGAAAUUCCCGUGCCUUGGCUACUGUCACUGCAAUUAUAGAUGGUACUGGCUCUGUUGGGGCAGCUAUUGGCCCACUUUUGGCUGGGUAUAUUUCAACAAGAGGAUGGAACAGUGUUUUUCUAAUG